rnacentral:lncRNA from 1 species
UCAUAAUCGCUGAGUUGGAACCUGGCUUUGCCACAGGCAUGCCUUCACAGAAGUCACUUAACUAAGUCUAGGUUCCUCAUCUGUGAACUGAGAAAACUAAAAGCACUGAUUCCAUGGGGUGCUUAGGAAGAAGUCACCCAUGACUAUCUGGAACAACAUUGUGGGGAAGGCCAAGUUUCUGGUGCGGUCUUACUAAGUUGCCCAGGCUGGUCUUGUACUCUUGGCCUCAAGCAAUCCUCCCACCUCAGCCUCCCAAAGCACUGGGAUUACACACAUGAGCUACUAGGCCCGGCCUCUUCUGUCUUUUUGUAGGUCACUCUCCAUCUUUUCCGCCAGUGCCCAACUGACUGAUCUUUACAGAUGGUGUCAACAGAUGCAUCUACCCUCUGGCUUCAAGUUGAGUUGGCCAAUGAAGGGAGGCGCUGCGGAAAGUACAUGACAUUUGCAGUUGUGGGCGACUGUGCUGUGGGAUGAAACCAGGCUCCUCAUCAAGAUGAACAUAGAUUCAAGUCUCCAUCUUAGCCAUUUCCUAGUUCUGUGAUUAUAAAUAAACUCC